AUCAAACUUGGAUUUCUGAACUGGCUUUUUGUGUUGACAUAUUGAAGUGUAUAAAUGAAAUCAACAUAAAACUACAAGGUAAAAAUCAACUUAUUCCUGAUAUGUGGUUUCAUAUUAAAUCUUUUGAAAUAAAAUUGAAAAUAUUACGGUCUCACAUUGAAAAAAAAUGAAUUAACACAUUUUCCUAAUUGUAAAAAACUUUUUGGAUCGUCAGAAUUUUCAUUAUUAACAGUUAAAUUUGUUGAAGCUAUUUCGAUACUUCAACAAGAAUUUAAUAUUCGAUUUCAAGAUUUCAAACGACAUUCACAGUAUUUUCAACUACUCGCCAAUCCGUUUAAUAUUGAUGUUGAAGAUGUACCUGUUGAGCUUCAAAUGGAAAUAAUAGAUUUGCAG